UCCGGUUUGUCACCGGCAGUCCCAUUAGAGUGCCCUUUCGUAGCAACUAAUGGCAAGGGUUGCGCUCGUUGCGGGACUUAACCCAACAUCUCACGACACGAGCUGACGACAGCCAUGCAGCACCUGUGUGCAGGUUCUCUUUCGAGCACUUCCAAAUCUCUUCGGAAUUCCUGCCAUGUCAAAGGUGGGUAAGGUUUUUCGCGUUGCAUCGAAUUAAACCACAUCAUCCACCGCUUGUGCGGGUCCCCGUCAAUUCCUUUGAGCUUCAACCUUGCGGCCGUACUCCCCAGGCGGUCAACUUCACGCGUUAGCUUCGUUACUGAGUAAGCAAAUACCCAACAACCAGUUGACAUCGUUUAGGGCGUGGACUAC
rnacentral:misc_RNA from 1 species